UUUUUCCAUUUCAAUUAUUCUUUCUUCCAUCUUUCCUUUGCCCUGUUUUUGGUCGAGAGAAAUCGGGAGGAACAGAGAAGAACAGAGAGAGAGGGGGGGAGAACACUAAGGUGAUCGAAGUUUAAGAGGAAAAGGGUUAAGGUUGGAGUUCUUGAUUGGGCCGUGGAGACCGAGACUAUACAACCGGAAGGCUCAACUCGUUGAGUUAUUUUUGGGGGGUCGUUAUGAGCUAGGAGCCAGACUAACCGCACAUGAUAUCUUUUUGGACAACGGGGAUCAGUGCGGAGGAUCUUUUUGCAGUAGGGCCCACUCCUAGUAUAAGUAGUAAGUUCUUGUAAAAUGUUAUGAUUAAGUUACGACCUGAAACUUAUGUUUAGUUGGGUUAGUGAUAGGGUUGUGGAAAGUACUCUCUUGAGAGUUAUAUAUAUAUAUAUAUAUAUAUCAGAACCUGCUGAAUUGUUAUAUGCUUUUGGUAUAGCUUGCUGAAUUGGUUAACUGUUUGGGAGGUGGAAAACAUGUUAUGAAUAAAUUGUUUAUGUGA